GUAAGUUAACCGUAGUGGCAGAGCCUGUCUUCUCCGGACAGAGAGAUCCCCGUUUGCCGAUAAAGUAAAACGACUAAAUCACCUUCAACAAAUCUAACAACAAAACGACACCGUAUCAAGGCUCCAAAUCCUAAUCUCUCUCUCUCGCUUCUCGCUCUCUCGCAAUGGUGAAGUCGCUUGAGCAUCCAUGGAUCCUCAACGCACUGCCUCUCUUAGUCGUUAUUCUCAUCGCAGCUCACGUCUUCGCCUUGAUUGGCCACUGAGAAUAAGCCCCGCCCCAUACAGCAGCAGCAGCAGCAGCUGCAGCAGCAACUCGGCGACAUCCAGAGACGAAAGGCUCACUGAGAAUCACCAAAACCUUGCUUGCAUUUGCCACCAUUCUGCAAUUUCGAACUUCUCAAGGCCUGAUUUGUAAAGUAUGUUUGUGUACGCUUGUUCUUUUUUUUUCUUUUUAAAUAUUUUUAUAUCUUUUACUUACAUAGUUCGUGUGAUGUUAUGUAUGGGGUAUUAUUACACUGCACUUACACCCCUGAGUUCUAAUUAAUUGCUGAUAUAUAGUUGCAAAAUUUCGAAAUAGUUAAAGGUUUCAAAAAUGACCAGCUCAUGUGAGAAAGGGACUGAGUUGUUAAUUUGUUAUCCUUUCUGUAAUUUUUUGUCUUUUUUUGCACUUAAAGAAGAUUGUAUGGAAUAGUUAAAAGUGUGUUGAUAAUUUGUGUUAAAUAUAGAAUUAAACUAGAAACUAUUCUUUCAA